GACGAACGCUGGCGGCGUGCUUAACACAUGCAAGUCGAACGGUAAGGCCCUUCGGGGUACACGAGUGGCGAACGGGUGGGUAACACGUGGGUGAUCUGCCCUGCACUUCGGGAUAAGCCUGGGAAACUGGGUCUAAUACCGGAUAGGACCCUGGGAUGCAUGUCCUGGGGUGGAAAGCUUUUGCGGUGUGGGAUGGGCCCGCGGCCUAUUAGCCUGUUGGUGGGGUGAUGGCCUACCAAGGCGACGACGGGUAGCCGGCCUGGGAGGGUGACCGGCCACACUGGGACUGAGAUACGGCCCAGACUCCUACGGGAGGCAGCAGUGGGGAAUAUUGCACAAUGGGCGCAAGCCUGAUGCAGCGACGCCGCGUGAGGGAUGACGGCCUUCGGGUUGUAAACCUCUUUCAGCACCGACGAAGCGCAAGUGACGGUAGGUGCAGAAGAAGGACCGGCCAACUACGUGCCAGCCGCCGCAGUAA
rnacentral:rRNA from 1 species